UUGAGGAAAACGAUGAUACCAGGAGGAGGAACAGAGGUAACAGCAUUACACAAUGCACAACACACAUUAGAAGCUCCUCUUGGAUACAACAAUAUGCUUCUGCAUCCACUGCACACUAUCUGACUCUGCAUAUUUAUCUGCAAAAUUCAAACAAUUUUAACCUAAUUUUAACCUAAUUUUCAUGAGCUUUGAAAUUGAGAUCAGAAAAUUGAAAUUAGGUUAUAUUAUGGAUUGAAUUUUGACCUGAUUGUGAUUGAUGGAUCGAAUUGAGGGAUUGUUGUUUGAUUUGGUGGAUAAAAAUGGAAAUUACCUUUGUGGAAUUGAUGGAUCUUGAUAUGAGAAUCGGGUUCGAUGAGGAUGAAAACUGAAAAGAGGGAUUUGUGAAUGAGGGUAAAAGGGGUCUUUUAUUGUGUUCUUCUUCUUUGGAUUGUGAUUGCGAUUGGGUGGAUAAUAAUAUUUCCACACUAUAAAUUUCCAACAAUUUUGUGGAUAGAGAGUUGUACUUAUGGCUUAGGGUAGUUUCCAAAAAAAAUUGUAAUUUUCACAUUUAACCUAAAGGUUUUAUUCUUUGAAUUUUAACCCCAAUAAUCUUUUGACCUUUUAUCUAAAGUUUCUCAUCUUUUGUGAUU
rnacentral:lncRNA from 1 species